AUUGAACGCUGGCGGCAGGCCUAACACAUGCAAGUCGAACGAGUGGCGGACUGGUGAGUAAUGUCUGGGAAACUGCCCGAUGGAGGGGGAUAACUCCUGGAAACGGUAGCUAAUACCGCAUAACAUCGUAUCUUCACUGAUGGGAUUAGCUAGUAGGUGGGGUAACGGCUCACAUAGGCGACGAUCCCUAGCUGGUCUGAGAGGAUGACCAGCCACACUGGAACUGAGACACGGUCCAGACUCCUACGGGAGGCAGCAGUGGGGAAUAUUGCACAAUGGGCGCAAGCCUGAUGCAGCCAGGCCGCGUGUAUGAAGAAGGCCUUCGGGUUGUAAAGUACUGUUGGCAGGGAAGCGGUACCUGCAGAAUAAGCACCGGCUAACUACGUGCCAGCAGCCGCGGUAAUAC
rnacentral:rRNA from 1 species